AACGAACGCUGGCGGCAGGCCUAACACAUGCAAGUCGAGCGCGCCCUUCGGGGUGAGCGGCGGACGGGUGAGUAACGCGUGGGAACGUGCCCUUUUCUACGGAAUAGCCUCGGGAAACUGAGAGUAAUACCGUAUACGCCCUUUGGGGGAAAGAUUUAUCGGAAAAGGAUCGGCCCGCGUUGGAUUAGGUAGUUGGUGGGGUAAUGGCCUACCAAGCCGACGAUCCAUAGCUGGUUUGAGAGGAUGAUCAGCCACACUGGGACUGAGACACGGCCCAGACCCGGAGGGAGGGGAGCGGUGGGGAAUCUAAGACAAGGGGGCAAGCUCUAACAGACCCGUGCGGGGGGAGUGAGGAGGCCGUUAGGGUAGAAAAGUCCUUUGGGAGGGAAAGAUAAGGACGGUACCAGAAAAAGAAGCCCGGGCUACCUCCGUG
rnacentral:rRNA from 1 species